rnacentral:misc_RNA from 1 species
CUUCUUUGUCCUGAUCUCUUCUCAUGUGUGAGAGACUCCUUGCUUAUAAUGGAGAUUAAGCAACAAUAUCCAAGCGGCAAACGGGAGUUCGGCCGUGUGAAGUCUUUUGUGGCCUAGGUUUUUAGUGCUUAGGUCGGGCCUCCUGUAAAUGGAUCUAGCUUGUCAAGCCUUUAGAAAACCCUUUUCUCUUGGUAUUGAAUUUGAGCCUUCUUGUACUGUAAACGGCUUUCAAGCCCAUCAAUGAAAUUACUUUAUCCUUGGGAAAAAAAAAAAUAUUUUAAUAAUAAGAGACAAAUAAUAAAUAACUGCUCCAUAAUCUAACGUAAAUCAAACUGGAUGAAUCCUUUCAUGUAAGUACAUAUAUACGUAAUUGAAACAUAUAUGAUCAGAAUACCACCAUGGUUUCCAUCGUUUUACAAAUUACUGAGCCCAUUUAAUUUCAGAUCAAUACGUGAGCUUCUCUAUUAACCUAUAUUCAUCAGAUCCUUGUAGUAUCAAUCUAUACAUUACAUUCUUGCAACAGAGCAUCCUAUUCCAUGACACAGCCCUUUUUCCACUUUCCUGGGAGUCUAAUAAUUUAAAGCCCAUAUGAUAGAAGCAUGGAGAUCAAAUAUGGUAUCAAAUAGAACAAGAAUCAUCAUGAAAGAAGGCCAUUUCCCUGCUUAGAUUAUGCAACUGACCAUCUUAAGUUAUCAAAACCUUCUUGCUUUGGACAUGCAACUGACCCUCAAACCUUUGAAGCUGGGCUUAGAAGCAUCUCUCUUUAUCAGCCUCUGUACUUUUGAGGAGAAUCUCGUCUCCCAUGCUUUUUAUCCUCAAAAUUAGUGGUGCAACCAUACUUUUGUCACAUAAAAGCAAAGUGAAUAAUUAAAGUUCAGCUUUCAUAUGGCCUGGUGGCAGUGAUCCUGUAACAAAGAUUACUUUGUGCUCAGUGUAGAAGCACUUGACUUACAGCAUUGGAAAGGUUAAUUGGGCAAAAUGAAAAAAGUUAAUACCAUUUAUAUCUUGGCUAUCUUGUGGAGCACUGGUUGCAUAGCCCAUCUGCACAACAUUGUUGAGCUCAUAAUCCCAUGCAUUGGGAAGCUGGCAAGUGCAUUAAAACGAAUGGAAAAUUAGCACAUCCACAUUCAAAAGACCAAGUAGAAAGACUAAUUUCAUUUGAUUGGUAUUGUAUCUACAAAAUUUCAUCCAUCAGAACUGUCUCAUCAUAUAGUAUACACUACAUUAGCCAAAUAGAAACAUACACAAAGAUAUAAAUUCACAAUUACCCCUUAAUAAUAUUUUGCAAAGAGGGAUUCCUAGAUACUUGUGUCCUAGGCAAUCCAAAAGUCUCAUACUCAACAAAGCAAUUAAGUUCGCAUUGAUUAAUAAGCCCUUUGAUAACCAAAAUACCUCUAUCAGCACCUGCUAAUAUUUCAAAAUGCCAAACAAUUAAAAAUGUUAUCAGGAAUCCAAAAAUGGACCAACGGUUACCUGUGUAGGCUCCUUGAAUCCCCCAGUCAAUGGCGUCAGUUGUGAAUUAAUGGCUCUCCGGAGCAUCUCAGAAUGGCUCUCCAUGCCAGGAAAAGAACCUUGAAUAAGUCCUGGUUGAGAUACAUUAAAUGGGGGAUAAACCAUAGGCACCUCCGGUGAAAAUGCCAGAUUAGAUGAAGGAACCGCCCUUGAGUGAAGGAUCUGCACGUACAGGCAGAAUCCAAUAUAUUACAGGGACCAGAUAUUACACACACACAUGCCCACUCGUUUGCACACACUAGUAAAUUUACAUCUGACUGAUCCAUAAACUAGCUCUCAAUUAAGAAAACACUGAAUACGCUGGACAGUAUGAGUUAACUAAACUUAUAUUCACUUACAUCUUUUGUGUGAAGUCCUUCUAUGUUGAAAUCCAGCCUUGGAUUCACUGUUGCUAGUUUCAUUGAUAGAAACUGAAAAACAAAAAAUUUCAACUCAGCAAAACUGCACACAAGUCCAAAUAAAGAGGUAAAAUCUGAAUAAGAGUCGAAUGUAUUUUGUUUAUUUUAUCAAAUGCAUGGUUGUGGGAGAAAUCCCAUAAACUAGAAUCCUUUCAAAGCAAUCCAUGACAUGAGUAGCACAACGUUAUCCCCCUUAACAAUCCAAACAUAAUUGUCUAUGAAAUUGCAUUGUUUCUGACACAGAUGACCUGGACUAAUUAAGAACUACCCAAACAUAGGAAGAAAAAUUGAAACAGAAUAUUACUGCAUACCUCAACCUGCCGUUGCAAUGAUUGCACAUAGUUGAUAAUUUCAUCUAGCAUCACUGCCUUGCCAAUUACCUGCAAAAUUCAAUUGAUGUUCAUGAAAUGAACUGCAACAACAUUUUAAUCAUGUGGACAACUCAAUCACAUUCCCUAACCAACAAACAAACCUUGCUGCAACCAGGUACAAGGUCUUGCAGAAACUUCAUCCUUUCACUAAUCUUUUCCCUCCUGACUCUUUCUGCAAGACUAUGACUAUUUGUUGCUUGACCUCUUCGAGCUCUGACAUGAAUAUAUUCUUCUUUUGGUGGAUCUGAAGCUUGAGAUCCUUGUUUACCUUGUUUUCCAGCAGUCUUAUUGGGAGUUGAAGCUGGGUUUUCAUCUCCCUUCUGUUGAACUUCAGGGUUAUCCUUUGCAGCUUCAAUAGAUUGUUGGUUUCCAUUGGCCUGAUAAGGAUCAGCAUCCUGCCCAUUCCUUUUCCUUUUCUUUAAGCCAGGGCUUUUAGCAGACAGUUCCCCGCCAUUUCCUUCCAACAUAGAUUGCUCUUCUUGACGACCACCACCACUGAACUCAGUUUCCUCAGACUCAUUACCAGACCCACCUUGUUUUGCUUCAUCAUGAGAUCUUACAAAGCUCCCACUUCUCCUCUCAUUCUUGAGUGGGCUCCCUUCAGUAGCCACAUGUUCAACUGACAAAGAAGCAUCUUUAGAGGAGUCACCCAUAUUCAUAACAUUCUUCUGACCUUGUCCACCAGGUAUUGAUUUCAAUCCACUACCCGCAAAAACCUCAUGUGGUACUUGCAUCAUUCCCCCACCCCUAGAAUAAAGAUCCAUAGGCUCAGGAAUUCCUAAAGGGUUUACCACAUCACUAAAAUUCCCACCAUUGAAGCAGGAAAACCUAGCAGCACGCUCAAUGAAUGCAGAAUCUGCAGGAAACUGAGAUAAGCUCUGUGGGAGCACACCAGGGGUAGUUGGUAAGAAAAUACCACCUUUCAGCUGGGAACUUGGUGGAUUCCACCCUAUAUCCAGCGUUUUAUCAAUACCACUUCUCAAAGAAGCGGGACCGCCUUUUCCAAUUCCUAUUGGGUUUAUAGUGCUCGCGUUAUGUUGGACAUUAAUAUCACAAAAUCCCAAGUUCUGUGUAUUUGUGGGGUGGUCCCAUACUCCUGGACUAAAGGAGUCCACCAUAGAAGCAGAAGAACAAGAAGUGCCAACUAGAUCUCCUCUACAAACUGGCAUCUGAUUAUCGGUGGAAACCAAACCCAGAGAUGAAUUUGCAAUAUUGGCGCCGCUAAAUCGCCAGUCUGAGGGCACACUACCAGGUAAAUGGUAGUUUAUAUGAUUUUCACUCCUCUUCUCUAGAUCAAAUUUAUCCUUGUCACCCAUUUCCAUCUCUUCUUCACAAGAAUAGUAAAAGUAGCCAACAGUAGAUUCCUCCUCUCACAAUUGUGUUUGAGCUAUCAGAAACAGUCUAUAGAAUUCUAGAAACAGUAGAAAGUGAAAAAAAUUACUCACCCCAAAGUUAUCCUUAUUGCUCAAAAUGAUCAAAGACCAAAAGAAGCAGGGGAAAUUGGAAAAGGAAAAAUAAAUCAAACAAAGAACUUUUAGUUACCUAACAUUCAUUAUUAAAAUAACUUCACAAACAAGCUUCAACUGAAACCACAGAAAGUAAACUUACAAUAUAAGAAACUUGACAAUUCAUUGUGAUGUCAAGAUAUUCCUUCAAAAGCUCAAUUCCCAUCCAAAUAAAAAAGAAAUUAUCUAAAGCCAACCAUUCAUAGCUAAGUAGAAAGAUCCACUUCAAUUAAUCGGCCUAAAAACCCAAAAAAGCUGUUACUGAAACCCCCAGGUUCCAGAAUAUGUUCCAAAGAUCACAGAAGUUGAAUUGCUACCAUUUCCAAAGCUACCCAACAAGUGAAGUUGAAGUGGACCAAAAUUGCAAUAAAGAAAUCACCUUCAAGACAAAACAAACUCAAAAAAGAAAGUUCAAAGAAAGCUGCGAAAGGUUCCGAUAGAAGCAGUCAAAUAAACAAACAAAAGAACAUUGAUUUCAGGACAGUAAGCAGCCCACUCAAAACCCUAGUCAGAGUUGAACAGCAGAGAGAGGAACCCCAGCUAAAAGUGGCAAGAGAUAGAUACCCAUUUCAGAUUCUGUGCUACUUUUGGUACUGCUGCUCCUCUUUCAAGCCUUUUUCCACUCAAACUAUCUUUUAUUGAAUUUUUGGUAAUCUGUUCUGUUCAAAUCCCUCCUCUGCUUUAUUUUGCUCAUACACUCUGCUAUACACUGCCACAUGCACCCACCCAUGACCCACCUACCCCAGCACACAUACAUACAUAAACACAACGAGAGUUACAGAGAGGGAAAAAAUUUAGCUGCAGAGGGAGAAAACUUGAAGAUGGGCAUCUGUGUAAUAGAAGGGAGAAUGAAAGAAAAAGAAAGACAACGGCAAAGGUGUUAGAUUUAUAGCCACGCUUGCAUCAAAAAGAGAGCUUUGAUGAUUAACCACCGCCACUGCUACCUUAAAAUUAUUAAAAACUCCUCCUUUCUACUGUUUCUUUGCUUACUUUACAUUUAUUACCUUUUUUCUUCUUUUAAUCUGCACUUCGCUUAUUUUAGUGUUUAAUUAUGCUUAGUGUUAGCUAGCAACUGACAUUGCCAACUCUCAUUGUGAAUUUUCUUAAUCUUAUUGUGAUUAUUUUACUUUGUCUUUUUGAUUAAAAUCUUGGAAAUAGAGCUCAAGAUCUUUAACGGGGUUUGUUUGGUCAAGGACCCCAAAUUCAGCUUUACCUCAUUUUCACACCUAUUUCUGAGAGACCCUAAUUAAGAAACUCCGGCAUACGGGUCAUGCGGUGGGUAUUAUUAUUGUUAUUUCCUGUGGGAAAAUCUAUGCUAUUGAAUUUUAGAACUCAUUAUGAUAGCUUCUGUCCCUUAUCUAUCGGUUUGAUUUUUGAGUGGCUGUUUUCUGACUUGUUUAUGUAACUCAAAAUUUUUUGAAAAU